rnacentral:rRNA from 1 species
GUAGGGAGCGAGCGUUGUCCGGAUUUACUGGGUGUAAAGGGUGCGUAGGCGGGAAAGCAAGUCAGGUGUGAAAUACCGGGGCUCAACUCCGGGGCUGCGCUUGAAACUGUUUUUCUUGAGUGAAGUAGAGGCAGGCGGAAUUCCUAGUGUAGCGGUGGAAUGCGUAGAUAUUAGGAGGAACACCAGUGGCGAAGGCGGCCUGCUGGGCUUUAACUGACGCUGAGGCACGAAAGCAUGGGGAGCAAACAGGAUUAGAUACCCUGGUAGUCCAUGCUGUAAACGAUGAUUGCUAGGUGUGGGGGGACUGACCCCUUCCGUGCCGGAGUAAACACAAUAAGCAAUCCACCUGGGGAGU